rnacentral:misc_RNA from 1 species
AUGGCGGCCUCAGUAACUCAUACACAGUUCCGGCGUAAAAACGACACUGCCGGACAGAACGGGCGACGAUAGCGCAGUUAUAUGUGUGUGCCCCGCCUUAUUUACAACUAGUCCGCUUCCGAGGUUUCACUCCAAGCCAAGUCUGCACACUUUACUAUCAUCAAGCCUUUCAGUAAACUAAAUAAUCAAAAGAACUUCGUGUACUGCACAAGAACUUCCACAAUCUCGACUUUUUGCGAUUAGUAUUGGAUGUUUUCCAAAUGUGCUUUUCACAACUUAGCUUGCUACGGUUUCAUAGAGACACUUAUGCGCGAUUUCUUGUCGAGUCUCUGAUACCUAAGUGAGCACUUAGAAUAAGAAUAUGUGGGUGCUGGCUGUGUCACCGGAACACGUUCAGGUCAUCACACGGUCGACGGCGUUCAUUGCAGGAGCACGCCUCGACACGGCAUGCGUGACCCCGCAUCAACAUUUUCUCAAGUGCUCCUGAAAAUCUCGAGGAAUAGUUCUACGUAUACACGGCCCGGCAAUCACUUACGUGGUUAUAUCGCCGACGGAAUCGUGCAUGCCAUACCAAAUACUAGAUCCCAUAUAAAAGUAUCUUUGCUAAACGUGCAAUGAGCAAUAGAGUAUUGGAUAACCUUCCUAGAUACAGCAUUUCGUAUUUAUUGCAAUUGUGACAAUUAUCAAAAGAAUUUGUCUCUCGAUUGUUUUGAUCUCUCCUGUGGUCGAAAAGAUGUAUUUCCUCACCCUGAAUGCAGCAUUGCCAAACCGAUUGCGAUAAUCGGUUUAGCCAUUUUGAAAUAAAAAUGAUAUAUAUUCUCA